UGGUACCUCUGAAAUGAAAUAAUAACUGAGCCACGGGCUUUGUGUUUCAGGGCUGCUGGAACCACGGGCAAUACAAAGAAUGAAAAUAGCAACUCGAAAACAAAUUCCACAGUUCUUUCCAUGAGUUUGCAAAAGUCUACACAUGGAGAGAUGUGAUAGGUUAUAUUACAACAAUUCAGUGGGCUAAAGAAAAAGUUUAAUUUCUGCUGAUAUUGCAUAUCCAACAAGGACUGGAAGAGGGAAUCUUCACUUUGGACCCUAAAAGGUCCAGCCUGAUUUUGAAAUUUGAAGACAAAUUGAUAGGUGGAAACACGAUUCAAGAGAAGGUGAACACACCAUUGUUACUACAGACAGAAGGUGGAUUGAGGGAAGAGUGGCUUAUUUAAUUGGUGAAUUUUAGAGAAGAAAUUGAGAAUGUCUGCUACUUUUCAUCCCUCCUGAAACUACUACUAUUUUUAGAGGUGCCUAACAUGUUGACCUGCUCUUUGGUAGGUGGUAAACUUGCCUUGCAAACUCUUCUGCAAGAAAGGCUUGGGAUCUUUCAGUUUAGUUUAUAACUGACUAGAUUUAUCAGUCCAGAUUGGCUAGGUUAUGCUGGGUAACAAACAACACCAACAUUCUAGUAGAUUUUAAAUAAAGGUUUAACUUCUGCUUCUGCUUAUACUGCUUGUCCAACAAGUGUGAGUAGAGACACAGCCUGAUGGAGACUUAAUCUUAACAUUCUCAACUAUGAUUACCAAAGCAGAAAAAUAAAACACAUUAAAUCACAUGCUGGCUUAUGAAAGCCUCCAUCUUUAAGUGACAUGUGCACUCUCGUUCAUAGUUCAUUGGCCAA
rnacentral:lncRNA from 1 species